rnacentral:rRNA from 1 species
UACGUAGGGUGCGAGCGUUGUCCGGAAUUAUUGGGCGUAAAGAGCGUGUAGGCGGCUUGGAAGGUCAGCUGUGAAAACUCGAGGCUCAACCUCGAGACGUCGGUUGAAACCGUAUGGCUAGAGUCCGGAAGAGGAGAGUGGAAUUCCCGGUGUAGCGGUGAAAUGCGCAGAUAUCGGGAAGAACACCCGUGGCGAAGGCGGCUCUCUGGGACGGUACUGACGCUGAGACGCGAAAGCGUGGGGAGCGAACAGG